rnacentral:rRNA from 1 species
AGGACGAACGCUGGCGGCGUGCUUAACACAUGCAAGUCGAGCGGUAAGGCUCCUUCGGGAGUACACGAGCGGCGAACGGGUGAGUAACACGUGAGCAAUCUGCCCUUCUCUUCGGAAUAACCAUUGGAAACGAUGGCUAAUGCCGAAUGCGACCUCCUUUCGCAUGAUCGGAGGUGGAAAGCUCCGGCGGAGAAGGAUGAGCUCGCGGCCUAUCAGCUAGUUGGCGGGGUAACGCCCACAAGGCGACGACGGGUAGCCGGCCUGGAGAGGGUGACCGGCCACACGUGGGACUGAGACACGGCCCAGACUCCUACGGGAGGCAGCAGGUGGGAAUAGUGGACAAGUGGGCGAAAGCCUGAUCCAGCAACGCGCGUGAGGAUGGACGGUCCUUGGGUUGUAAACCCUUCGUUCGAGCGAGGGAACGAAGACGUAAAGUCGAACGUACCUGACAGAAGAAGGACCG